rnacentral:rRNA from 1 species
AUUGAACGCUGGCGGCAGGCCUCACACAUGCAAGUCGAACGAGUGGCGGACGGGUGAGUAAUGUCUGGGAAACUGCCUGAUGGAGGGGGAUAACUACUGGAAACGGUAGCUAAUACCGCAUACCAUCAGAUGUGCCCAGAUGGGAUUAGCUAGUUGGUGGGGUAACGGCUCACCAAGGCGACGAUCCCUAGCUGGUCUGAGAGGAUGACCUGCCACACUGGAACUGAGACACGGUCCAGACUCCUACGGGAGGCAGCAGUGGGGAAUAGUGGACAAUGGGCGAAAGCCUGAUCGAGCCAUGCCGCGUGAAUGAAGAAGGCCUUCGGGUUGUAAAGUACUUUCAGCGGGGAAGCGUUACCCGCAGAAGAAGCCACGGCUAACUCCGUGCCAGCAGCCGCGGUAAUAC